CAUCAACUUCAGAGCAGUUGACACUAAAAUACAUUACAUAGCCAAAGUGUAUGUUGGAAACAAUGAAUGUGUUCAUGUGAAAAUGUCUCAAUCUCUCCCUUGCUAUGGAGGGGAAGUGAAUCUGGAUCAGUUCCAGUAUCCCAAAAAUACAGAGAAUGAAAUCGAACCCUUCUGAAAACUUCUGAACACAUUAUUCAGUCCUCACGGAGAGACUCAUACAACACUUUUCAAUAAAGUCUUGAAGCACAA